rnacentral:rRNA from 1 species
UACGUAGGUGGCAAGCGUUGUCCGGAUUUACUGGGCGUAAAGGGCGUGCAGGCGGUUUGUUAAGUGCAGGGUGAAAGCUCCCGGCUCAACUGGGAGAGGUCCUUGCAUACUGGCGAACUCGAGGGAGGCAGAGGAAAGUGGAAUUCCCGGUGUAGUGGUGAAAUACGUAGAGAUUGGGAAGAACACCAGUGGCGAAGGCGGCUAUCUGGACGGUUUCUGACACUAAGACUCGAAAGCGUGGGGAGCAAACAGG